GGUGGCUCAGUGGUUAAAGUGCUUGGCUGCUAACCAGAAGGUUGGUGGUCUGAAUCCACCAGCCACCC
rnacentral:tRNA from 1 species